UACAGAGGGGGCAAGCGUUAUUCGGAAUUAUUGGGCGUAAAGGGCGCGUAGGCGGCUUGGCAAGUGGAUGGUGAAAUCCCUCGGCUUAACCGAGGAACUGCCGUCCAAACUGCUUCGCUUGAGACCGGGAGAGGUGAGUGGAAUUCCCAGUGUAGCGGUGAAAUGCGUAGAUAUCUGCAGGAACACCCGUGGCGAAAGCGGCGCGCUGGACCACUACUGACGCUGAGGAACGAAAGCUAGGGGGAGCAAACAGG
rnacentral:rRNA from 1 species